rnacentral:rRNA from 1 species
AGUGAACGCUGGCGGUAGGCCUAACACAUGCAAGUCGAACGGCAGCACAGUAAGAGCUUGCUCUUACGGGUGGCGAGUGGCGGACGGGUGAGGAAUACAUCGGAAUCUACUUUUUCGUGGGGGAUAACGUAGGGAAACUUACGCUAAUACCGCAUACGACCUACGGGUGGAAGCAGGGGAUCUUCGGACCUUGCGCGAUUGAAUGAGCCGAUGUCGGAUUAGCUAGUUGGCGGGGUAAAGGCCCACCAGGGCGACGAUCCGUAGCUGGUCUGAGAGGAUGAUCAGCCACACUGGAACUGAGACACGGUCCAGACUCCUACGGGAGGCAGCAGUGGGGAAUAUUGGACAAUGGGCGCAAGCCUGAUCCAGCCAUACCGCGUGGGUGAAGAAGGCCUUCGGGUUGUAAAGCCCUUUUGUUGGGAAAGAAAAGCAGCAGGUUAAUACCCCGCUGUUCUGACGGUACCCAAAGAAUAAGCACCGGCUAACUUCGUG